CUCCAGCCCCGCCCCACGGCGACAGGUGGGCGCUCCCGCGGGAGGCCGUGGCGUCCGGGCGCUGCUGUGGGCCCCGCUCCGCCCUACAGACCCCAGGCCGACCGAGCCGCGCUUCUCGGGGCUCCGCUGCGCGCCGUUCCCCUGGCAGGCCCUGGACGGUCCCGCGCCUCCUCCCACUUACUCUCCUGGAGGCGCAGGGCCGGACCGCGGGUGGCGGGGUGGGGGUCCAGGCCCUGCAGGCGCUGCGAGCCUUCGAGCGCCCCCGCAACCGGCCGCGCACCCCUGCGCUGUGGGGGUGGACCGGGCCCCCAGCCGCGAUGCAGCAGCCCCCGGGGGAGACACGAGCUCUGAGGACCCCGGGUGGUCUAGAGUCGCCGGCCGCCGCGUGACCCCUGGGCGGGCCUGUGUCGCCCGCAGCGCCGCCUCGUCCCUCCCUGUGCCGAGGGAGAGGACCCCGUCGGGCGCCCGGAAGCCCGGGGCUUCCUUGUCUGGGGCGAGGCGGCCCCCCGUGACGCGGUGGGCGCUAGUGCGAAGCUAUGUCAACUAAAGCAAAGACUCAUAAUGAAAACAGUCGGGUUAGCUUCACGCGGGAACCUUCCUGAGGACGGCAGAGCGGGCUGGCAGCUCCUUCAAGAGGCUCUGCCGCUGCUGCAUCGGCGUCAGCCGGGUUUGGGUGGGAGAGCGCAGAGGUGUUUGGAGUGUGGGUCUUUUAUCUUCUGAGGAGGCGGUGGCCCGGGCAGGUGGCGGCCCCGCGCUGGUCCUGCGCUGUGUCCUCGGAGCGCCCUCAGCUGCCGCAUCCAGGUGCCGGCACAGACACGUGGGCGGGGCUGCCUAGCCUGCUGCUGGGCCUCAGAGGGCUGCAGAGACGGCAGGAAUGGUGACCCUUGCUUCAGAGUCCUUUGGUUAUGAGUAACUCACCGAAUUGACAGUGUGAUUUGUAUGAAUGCGUUGUGUUCACUGAAGAGCUGUGGCAGAGAGAAAACCUAACACGUUUAAUUCCCGAAUGUGAGUGUUUUCAACUAUGUGUAACAACUAACACAAUUGACAUAAUGAUACACUUCGUGGACAUUUAAUUUUGAUUCUGUCAUUUCCUUAUUUUUAGAGGUGGUAACGUUUUGUUUUUUUCCCGUUGCUCAAACAUCUUCGAGGCUCCUGCACGGCUGGAGCUGUGCCUCCGGGCCCAGGUGACCUCGGGGGGAGAAGGAAGGGGCCUCUGAGGAUGAAGCACAGAGGCUGCCUGGUGAAGUGGGCUGCGCGCUAGAAAAUGCACGUGCGGAGUAGCUUGGUUCCCUCCACGGGGAGCGUGCAAGGCCCUCUUGGGCGCCGUGGGAGCCUCGCCGCCUGCACAGGCUUCGGAGCCAGUGAAGUGGCCGAAUCAGCAUUGAAGAAUGGGGAGCAAGUGCGAGCCGCUUUCCUGCGAGUGGUUGAGAAGCAGGCUUUGUGUUGGCCGCCCCUGUGGGUAGCGGCUGCUCAGCCC